GACGAACGCUGGCGGCGUGCUUAACACAUGCAAGUCGAACGGAAAGGCCUGCUUUCCCUUGUGGAUUGCGGGUACUCGAGUGGCGAACGGGUGAGUAACACGUGAGUGAUCUGCCCCCAACUUGGGUAUAAGCCUGGGAAACUGGGUCUAAUUCCCGAUAGGACUGCAGGGUGGUGCCUGUGGUGGAAAACGAUUUUCUAGUGGUUGGGGAUGAGCUCGCGGCCUAUCAGCUUGUUGGUGGGGUAAUGGCCUACCAAGGCGGCGACGGGUAGCCGGCCUGAGAGGGUGGACGGCCGAAUUGGGACUGAGAUACGGCCAAGACUCCUACGGGAGGCAGGAGUGGGGAAUAUUGCACAAUGGGGGGAAGACUGAAGCAGCGACGCCGAGUGGGGGAUGACGGGCUUCGGGUUGUAAACUCCUUUCGACCGCGAGGAAGCCACCUGGUUGGAAGGGUGGUGACGGUAGUGGUAGAAGAAGCACCGGCUAACUACGUG
rnacentral:rRNA from 1 species